CAAACGUAUUCUUUCAUUUAAAAAAAGCAGAAACAAAAGGAUUGCCCUAGAUUAUUGCAACUAGGUACUUAUCAUGGCCCUGGAGCCAGGGGUUCAUACCCCGCUGUAGAUGGGAGUUUAGGAGCCUGCUCAAGUUGUAUCCACAGUGUUGUGUGUUUUGCCUUUUGGGGUUCUAUGAUGGUUAAUUUUACGUGUUAACCUGAUUGGGCUAAAGGAUGCCCAGACCACUGGUAAAACAUUAUUUCUGAGCUUGUCUGUGAGGCUGUUUCCAGAAGAGAUUAGCAUUUGAAUCAAUAGACUGAGUAAAGAUCCCCCUCACCAAUAUGUGUGGGCACCAGCCAAUCCAUUGAGCGUCUGAAUAGAACAAGAAGACAGAGAAAGGGCCUUUAGACUCUACUGAAUUACACCACCGGCUUUCCUGAUUCUCCAGUCUGAAGACGGCAGAUUGCGUGACUCCUCAGCCUCUGUAAUUGUGUGAGCUAAUCCUCAUAAUAAAUCUCCAGGUAUCCCUAUCGACCCUAUUGGUUCUGUUUCUUUGGAGAACCCUCAUUAAUGCAGGUUCUUUAUUUCACUGUUUCCAUUUCCUUCCUCUUCACCAGCAUCUGGUGGGAAGUGUGCUUUCGCUUGAUGACACUGAAAAAUCAUGCCACGAGUGUCCAGUAACAGAAAGAAAAUAGACUUGCUGCACUCUGAGGAAGGGAAGGUUCCUCUCCACGCCCCCAGCGUGUAUGGGACCUAAGCUGCCAGGUUUUAGAAUGCUGGAGAAUUUCAAAUCAGACCACCUGCUCCUUAAAUGUCAAAACCAGCAGUAGUGUUUACAAUUCUAUACAACGGAUGUUCUCUAGCAACACCAAAAGCAAAUUUCAGGUCGUUAUGUAUC
rnacentral:lncRNA from 1 species